rnacentral:rRNA from 1 species
CCUACGGGCGGCAGCAGUGGGGAAUAUUGCACAAUGGGGGAAACCCUGAUGCAGCGACGCCGCGUGAGUGAAGAAGUAAUUCGGUAUGUAAAGCUCUAUCAGCAGGGAAGAAAAUGACGGUACCUGAGUAAGAAGCCCCGGCUAACUACGUGCCAGCAGCGGCGGUAAUACGGAGGGGGCAAGCGUAAUCCGGAUUUACUGGGUGUAAAGGGGGCGUAGAGGGCAGGGCAAGUCUGGAGUGAAAGGCGGGGGCUCAACCCCCGGACUGCUCUGGAAACUGUACGGCUGGAGUGCAGGAGAGGUAAGUGGAAUUCGUAGUGUAGCGGUGAAAUGCGUAGAUAUUAGGAAGAACACCGAUGGCGAAGGCGGCUUACUGGAGUCUAACUGACGUUGAGGCUCGAAAGCGUGGGGAGCAAACAGGAUUAGAUACCCGAGUAGUC